UUAGAGUGUUUAAAGCAGGCUCGCGCUUGAAUACAUUAGCAUGGAAUAAUGAAAUAGGACGUUUGAACCUAUUUUGUUGGUUUCUAGGAUCAACGUAAUGAUUAAUAGGGAUAGUUGGGGGCAUUAGUAUUCAAUUGUCAGAGGUGAAAUUCUUGGAUUUAUUGAAGACUAAACUACUGCGAAAGCAUUUGCCAAGGAUGUUUUCAUUAAUCAAGAACGAAAGUUAGGGGAUCGAAGACGAUCAGAUACCGUCGUAGUCUUAACCAUAAACUAUGCCGACUAGGGAUCGGAUGAUGUUAAUUUUUUAAUGACUCAUUCGGCGCCUUACG
rnacentral:rRNA from 1 species